rnacentral:rRNA from 1 species
AUUGAACGCUGGCGGCAUGCCUUACACAUGCAAGUCGAACGGUAACAGGUCUUCGGAUGCUGACGAGUGGCGAACGGGUGAGUAAUACAUCGGAACGUGCCUAGUAGUGGGGGAUAACUACUCGAAAGAGUGGCUAAUACCGCAUGAGAUCUACGGAUGAAAGCAGGGGAUCGCAAGACCUUGUGCUACUAGAGCGGCCGAUGGCAGAUUAGGUAGUUGGUGGGAUAAAAGCUUACCAAGCCGACGAUCUGUAGCUGGUCUGAGAGGACGAUCAGCCACGCUGGGACUGAGACACGGCCCAGACUCCUACGGGAGGAAGCAGUGGGGAAUUGUGGACAAUGGGCGAAAGCCUGAUCCAGCAAUGCCGCGUGCAGGAUGAAGGCCUUCGGGUUGUAAACUGCUUUUGUACGGAACGAAAAGCUCUGGGUUAAUACCCUGGGGUCAUGACGGUACCGUAAGAAUAAGCACCGGCUAACUACGUGCCAGCCGCCGCCGUAACAC